rnacentral:rRNA from 1 species
GCUCAAAUUUGAAAUCUCACAGGUUCCCUGUGCGAAUUGUAGUUUAAAGAAUCGUUUUCGGGGGCUACUUGAGCACAAGUUCUUUGGAACAAGGCAUCAUAGAGGGUGAGAAUCCCGUCUUUGGUUCAAGAGUAGCUCCUAUGUGAUACGAUUUCAAAGAGUCGGUUUGUUUGGGAAUGCAGACCAAAAUGGGUGGUAAAUACCAUCUAAGGCUAAAUAUUGGCGAGAGACCGAUAGCGAACAAGUACCGUGAGGGAAAGAUGAAAAGAACUUUGAAAAGAGAGUUAAAAGUACGUGAAAUUGUCAAAAGGGAAACGCUUGAAACCAGUGUUACUUGAAGAAUUCAGCCAUUCAUUAGAGUGGUGCACUUUCUUUAUAGUAGGUCAACAUCGGUUUGAUCUGAAGUAAAAUGCGUUUGGAAUGUGAACCCUCGGGUUGUUAUAGACAAACGUUAUACUUUGGGUUGGACCGAGGUAUGCAGUACUUUUGGAGGUCUAGUCGCCUUUGAAGACAUCGGCCAAGACAACAUGUUGACUUGGUUGAAUGUUGAGAAGAUCGGUUGGUUCCCUUACACCAGUACUUAGGAUGUUGACAAAAUGGUUUUAAACGACCCGUCUUGAAACACGGACCAAGGAGUCUAACAUGUACGCGAGUAUUUGGGUGGCAAACCCUUAUGCGCAAUGAAAGUGAACGGUGGGAUAUUUGCACCAUCGACCGGCCUGGAUUUCUUUGAAAGGUCUGAGUAAGAGCGUAUAUGCUGGGACCCGAAAGAUGGUGAACUAUGCCUGANAGGGUGAAGCCAGAGG